UAAUGGCCUCAUAUCUGAAAACAAAACAAAAGCACUAUCCUGAGGUGAAAUUUGUUUGCUUCAGCUCACAGUUUUUUCUUCUCUUUGCUUGAAAACGAUAGAUGACUACUGAGACGGUGUUCCCGUCGCCACUGGUUCCGUCUAGGAAAUGCACAUUCCUGAGGUGCUGCAGGGAGCUGCCAGGUGGAGCAAUGGUCAUUGUUGACAUGUCUCUGGACGACGGUGGUGGCAGCUCCUUCAAAUGCUGCAAAAUGCCAUCAGGAGUACUGAUCCAGCCCAUAAUGGCCAACAGCUGCAAGGUAUAUAUGGCCCAAACAAGAAAGAAUUCCUAUCAUGAUAGAAUGGUUACCGGUAUACCUUACCGCAUGGCUG
rnacentral:lncRNA from 1 species